rnacentral:rRNA from 1 species
GACGAACGCUGGCGGCGCGCCUAACACAUGCAAGUCGAACGGAGCUGAGAGGAGCUUGCUUUUCUUAGCUUAGUGGCGAACGGGUGAGUAACGCGUGAGUAACCUGCCCUGGAGUGGGGGACAACAGUUGGAAACGACUGCUAAUACCGCAUAAGCCCACGGCCCGGCAUCGGGCUGCGGGAAAAGGAUUUAUUCGCUUCAGGAUGGACUCGCGUCCAAUUAGCUAGUUGGUGAGGUAACGGCCCACCAAGGCGACGAUUGGUAGCCGGACUGAGAGGUUGAACGGCCACAUUGGGACUGAGACACGGCCCAGACUCCUACGGGAGGCAGCAGUGGGGGAUAUUGCACAAUGGGGGAAACCCUGAUGCAGCGACGCCGCGUGGAGGAAGAAGGUUUUCGGAUUGUAAACUCCUGUCGUUAGGGACGAUAAUGACGGUAC